rnacentral:rRNA from 1 species
UACGUAGGAGGCAAGCGUUGUCCGGAGUUACUGGGCGUAAAGCGUGCGCAGGCGGUUCGUUGUGUCGGCGGUGAAAGCCCCGGGCUCAACCUGGGAAUGGCCGUUGAAACUGGCGAACUGGAGUGUGGCAGAGGGGGGUGGAAUUCCGCGUGUAGCAGUGAAAUGCGUAGAGAUGCGGAGGAACACCGAUGGCGAAGGCAGCCCCCUGGGCUGACACUGACGCUCAGGCACGAAAGCGUGGGGAGCAAACAGG